GCGCCAGAGGGUGAGUCUGCGGCCUAUCAGGUAGUAGGUGGUGUAACGGACCACCUAGCCUAAGACGGGUACGGGCCUUGAGAGAGGGAGCCCGGAGAUGGGUUCUGAGACACGAACCCAGGCCCUACGGGGCGCAGCAGGCGCGAAACCUUCGCACUGCGCGAAAGCGCGACGAGGGGAGCCCGAGUGCCUCUCCAUUUCGGGGAGGCUUUUCACAAGCCUAAAAAGCUUGUGGAAUAAGGGCUGGGCAAGACGGGUGCCAGCCGCCGCGGUAAUACCCGCAGCUCGAGUGGUGGUCGCUUUUAUUGAGCCUAAAACGUUCGUAGUCGGCCUUGUAAAUCCCUGGGUAAAUCGGACCGCUUAACGGUUCGAAUUCCGGGGAGACUGCAAGGCUAGGGACCGGGCGAGGUCAGAGGUACUUUCGGGGUAGGAGUGAAAUCCUGUAAUCCCGAAGGGACCACCUGUGGCGAAAGCGUCUGACUUGAACGGCUCCGACGAUGAGGAACGAAGGCUAGGGGAGCAAACCGGAUUAGAUACCCGGGUAGUCCUAGCUGUAAACUCUGCCCGCUUGGUGUGGCCUGUCCUUCGGGGGCAGGCUGUGCCGGAGCGAAGGUGUUAAGCGGGCUGCUUGGGGAGUACGGCCGCAAGGUUGAAACUUAAAGGAAUUGGCGGGGGAGCACCGCAACGGGAGGAUGCGUGCGGUUUAAUUGGAUCAACGCCGG
rnacentral:rRNA from 1 species